AACAUCGCAUGGGUUAUUUCUUGUGGUUUACGACAACGAAAACCAGUAUAUUCUACUCUCUCUCAGAAUGAAGAUGCAUACGUCAGUUGGAAUUUUUCUCUGUGUAAUAGCCUGUGCUCAUUCGUGGUAUCAAGACUUAGAUGGCUUGCAGUACAGGCAACAAGGAAUGAGAGAAGAUACGGGCAUGUUCACUNGAGAUGGUGUGNUUGUAGACCGCGAGGAUGUAAAGAGAGUCAUUAACAUCCUGGACAGGAAGUGCUCGUGUACUGGUCCGGUAGCCUGUCAGUGUUGUAUCGAAGCCAAGCUUAAGAUUCUUUUCAAACUCAAAGCUUGUGCAGCCUUUGCCUUCAAUCCCAAAACCAAGGCCCUUGAUUUCACCAUUACGGUUGACAAUAUAGUCCUCUUCAAGAAAUCAAUCUCAGUGAGUAAGCCAGUCAAGUUUUGUCAUGAGUUUUCAUUCCAUGGUCAUGAUGCUAAACUUUGCGUUGGUCUGAGUGACAUCUCUUUUGAAAAGGGGCACACUGGUGCCUGCAUCUACAUGGAAAUNCAAGCCUCUCUCUUUCACUGGAAGCAAAAAUUGGGAUGCUUGUACAAAAGUACNCUUCCUAAAAAGCUUUCGCUNCUUGCAGACGANACCAAGAAUGGCGAUUAUAAAUUGUAAUCUCUNAUAUCGCCGAAUUUUAAAAUUAUGANNAUAANAAUUGUAGUUUUUAAGUGACUGGCUCAUACAAGUGAUCCAAAAUCAGACACGAGAACAAGAAAUGCAGCUUUUUCGUUUCCUUGUGCUUGUGUUUGCAAUUGCGUUGUGUCAUGUAGCGGAAUUGCGCACAAGGGAAAUGAAGAGCAAAUACAAGGAUAAGAAAACGAAAAAGUUGCAUUUCUCAUUCUUGCGUUUGCUUUUGGGUGACUUGUGUGACGAACCAGGCAUGGUAAUGAGACGUGUAUUUAGGCAUGUUUAAUUUUCUAGGUGGAUUAAAGUUAUAAAUUGUAGUAGCUUAAAUGCAAA
rnacentral:misc_RNA from 1 species